rnacentral:sRNA from 1 species
UUACAGCUUAUGUGGCCUGAAGACUCA